rnacentral:rRNA from 1 species
AUACGUAGGUGACAAGCGUUAUCCGGAUUUACUGGGUGUAAAGGGCGUGUAGGCGGUUUAGCAAGUCAGAAGUGAAAUUCCCGGGCUUAACUUGGGCGCUGCUUCUGAAACUGCUUUACUUGAGUGCUGGAGAGGAUAGUGGAAUUCCUAGUGUAGCGGUAAAAUGCGCAGAUAUUAGGAGGAACACCGGUGGCGAAGGCGGCUAUCUGGACAGUAACUGACGCUGAGGCGCGAAAGCACGGGGAGCAAACAGGAUUAGAUACCCUGGUAGUCCGUGCCGUAAACGAUGAAUACUAGGUGUAGGGGGUAUCGACUCCCUCUGUGCCGCAGUUAACACAAUAAGUAUUCCGCCUGGGGAGUACGGCCGCAAGGUUGAAACUCAAAUGAAUUGACGGGG